rnacentral:rRNA from 1 species
GAUGAACGCUGGCGGCGUGCCUAAUACAUGCAAGUCGAGCGAACAGGCGAGGAGCUUGCUCCUCUGACGUUAGCGGCGGACGGGUGAGUAACGCGUGGAUAACCUACCUAUAAGACUGGGAUAACUUCGGGAAACCGGAGCUAAUACCGGAUAAUAUAUUGAACCGCAUGGUUCAAUAGUGAAAGACGGUUUUGCUGUCACUUAUAGAUGGAUCCGCGCCGCAUUAGCUAGUUGGUAAGGUAACGGCUUACCAAGGCAACGAUGCGUAGCCGACCUGAGAGGGUGAUCGGCCACACUGGAACUGAGACACGGUCCAGACUCCUACGGGAGGCAGCAGUAGGGAAUCUUCCGCAAGGGGCGAAAGCCUGACGGAGCAACGCCGCGUGAGUGAUGAAGGUCUUCGGAUCGUAAAACUCUGUUAUUAGGGAAGAACAAAUGUGUAAGUAACUAUGCACGUCUUGACGGUACCUAAGCAGAAAGCCACGGCUAACUACGUU